rnacentral:rRNA from 1 species
UGUCGUCAGCUCGUGUUGUGAAAUGUUGGGUUAAGUCCCGCAACGAGCGCAACCCUUAUCCUUUGUUGCCAGCGGUCCGGCCGGGAACUCAAAGGAGACUGCCAGUGAUAAACUGGAGGAAGGUGGGGAUGACGUCAAGUCAUCAUGGCCCUUACGACCAGGGCUACACACGUGCUACAAUGGCGCAUACAAAGAGAAGCGACCUCGCGAGAGCAAGCGGACCUCAUAAAGUGCGUCGUAGUCCGGAUUGGAGUCUGCAACUCGACUCCAUGAAGUCGGAAUCGCUAGUAAUCGUGGAUCAGAAUGCCACGGUGAAUACGUUCCCGGGCCUUGUACACACCGCCCGUCACACCAUGGGAGUGGGUUGCAAAAGAAGUAGGUAGCUUAACCUUCGGGAGGGCGCUUACCACUUUGUGAUUCAUGACUGGGGUGAAGUCGUAACAAGGUAACCGUAGGGGAACCUGCGGUUGGAUCACCUCCUUACCUU